CUGGAAAGGUGCGUGCUCGGAUUGCCGGAGGGCCGGUCUCGACCCGUGCGUACGGAAAUGAAGCUGCCGUUUGUGACGAGCGUGGGCAUCAGGAAGCCAGAUGAAUUUUUUUGGGAGUCUGUAAGAGCAUCAAGUAACUCUGUUCAGUCUCCUGUAUCUCGUCACCUAUGAAGAAUGUUAGAGUUGAAAUUUCAUGUUCAAUAGGACCAACUGUCGGACAACUUUAUCUUCUGGUCACAGAGAGCACCAAGUGCAUGUCCCAGAGGAGCAGCAUCCAGGACGCAUAACUUCUAGCAACAUUCCUGACAUCAGUCUGUCUGGUUACCUUGGCAAAUCAUUUCACCGUCCUGUGCUUCAGUUUCUCCAUUUGUUAAAAGAGGGACACACACUUUUUGUUGAGAGCUUUGACAAAGAUUUUAUUAUUCUGUAGACUAGUAGCAUGUCAAGACCAAUCUUUCAUGUAGCAGAGAAAAGUACUAAGCAUUUUUUAGAUGACUAUACCUGUACUGCCUGUUAUAUUGAAAUUUGCAAAUCUGCAAGGAAAUUAGAAUAAUUGUUUUUCUCUUUCACCCUGAACCUUGUAAAAACAACUUAUUUCUCAGAAGUGAGAGAAAAAGCAAUGCUAAUCAGCAGGAAUGGUUUUAAGUUUGACAUCUUGAAAGAGUACCUCAAUUAAAAGGAUAAAUUAGCUGAAUUUCUAGAAUCUGAGUUACAAUACAACUUAAUCAAAGAAAAACUGUGCGGAAAUAUUGCAUUUAACAUCAGUUCGGUUUUGAGAUUUUUUGCAUUUUAUCAACACAAUUUUUAUGCUGCUAUUGCUUUUGUCAUAUUUAUAAGAAUUUCUAGGAAAUCAUGGUUUUACAAUGAGUGCAAGCCAAAAAUGUGCAUUGGACCCAAAUACUUUGUUUUAUGUGGCUUCUCCACAGUGAUUUUGCAUUUCACUGCUUUUCAACAAGUUUUAUGUAAAAAUCUAAAUUUAAGACAUUAAAGUUAAGCAAACUAAAAUUAAAACAAUUUCUCUUUUAACAUUUUUUGUAAGUAACGUAGUGCAAUUUUCUAGGAAAAAUAAUCUACACUGUUAUUCUCAAUAGCAUGUUUAACUGUCUCAUCCAUAACUAAAUUUAGAUGUCACUGCUAAAAUUGGUUAUUCUAGAUCACAGUCACCGUGCAAAGGAGUGAUUUUAGUACUGCCUCCACAUAAUGUUUCAGCAGAAGCUUCCUCCACAGGACAUGUAACUAGAUGCAUUAAAUUAUAGUUUACACAGGAUACAAAUAAUUCCUUCCUGACUGCAGCAUGGUAUCAGAGUAUACCCCUCAAAGAGAGAUCUGAUUAGCCUUAUCGUUAUCUCAGCCACUGUAGUUAAAAAUAUUAUUAGUGGGUAUAAUAUUAUCUGUCUGUACUUUUAAGACCUGGUUGAAAACAAUUCUUUCAUUAUUUUCGGCAGUACAGAUUUUUUUUUUUUUUUUGCUAAGACUAUUUGGUGUAAAAGCAUACUUUAUAAAACAUUGCAUAUUUGUCUUCUGUUUUCCUUUUAUUGUGAUAUUGUGGUGUUUAAAUAUACUGGGAGACAAGCCAGAUUAUAUUAACUGUUUUUUGAUCUUUUUCCCUAAUGUUUUAUGUUGUAUAGAUAACCUGAUUCUUUUCCUUUUCAAUAUUUCUCUUGUCCUGACUAAAUAAUUUAACCAUUUCCAUGCUUUCAUUACACAUAAAAUCUGCUAUACAUCUCAGACACCUUUACUGACCCUUGCUGGGCCUAUUUCAUUCCCAAAUGUGUCUUAAUAUCUUAAUGUGUAAAUUAUUUUAGCAUAAAAAGCAUAAUGGUUUCUGAGUGGCUGUUGCAGGCCAUGCAGUCAAUGGUCUGUGAACUCAAGUUUCUCUAAGAAUAAAACACAAAUGGUUAGGUCAUAGUGACUGUGAAAUAAAGUAUUGGAACAUCUAAAUUACAAUAGAACUGUAAUUAUAUAUUUUUUCCUUUCAGUAAACCCACUUUGAACUUUUAAAGUUUUGCACUAUUUCCUGUGAAAUCUCUAACAAAAUUGUCAGUGUCUGCUGAUUCCAUGAUCUGCAAAAGAAAUUUAAACUGAGUACUGACAGAGUAGCAUCUAAAAAUUCCUUUCUUCAGUGCUCUUUGGAGAGGAGGGUAAUUCAGAUCAUCUUGCAAAUGAAAAGUGGUAUGCCUUUAAUCAAAGAAGCAAGAGUGCCAUCACAAAAAUACAUUGUUUUGGGACAGUUAAAUCAGUUGUACCUGGUCUAGCAUUUAAAGAUCAGUUUUAAGGUUUCUGUGAUCAAGUUUUGUGGGAGCAUAUAAAGGGCAGAGUGAAAGACGUUUAUGCCUAAAAUAAGAGUUGGGUAAUCUGAGGCCUCCUAUCUCAGACAUCAUGAACUGUCAGCGACCACUUGGGUCAGCUACUGCUGGAAUUGUGCAGGUUCCUCUAGGCUUGAUUCUCUCAACUGCUCAAGCAUUUCUGCACACACCCAACCCUGGGUACUUGGCAUCCUCCAGCUAAAGAGCCAGCUCCAGAAGCCAGGGCUGGGCUUUGUCCUAUGUACAGAUGCAGGCAUGGACACUGUGUAAAUAUGCACAAAGAAGCCUGUGAUAAUAUGACUUCUUUAAAAUAAAUUGAGGGAGAAAAAAAAAUGCAACGAACUAAAACCAGUCUCAGAAUUUUUUUAGGCUGAGUUACCAAGCUGAUCUAAAAUGUCAUGAAUCGGGACUUAAAAGUGCCCAUUUCUUCCUCAAGGCUAAUUAAGGGAGCUUUUGAAGGUCAAUUAAGAUAUAGAUGCCUUCCUUUGACCAAAUCAUCCCUAUGUGCUAGACAUGUGUGACUCACUAGAAAUUUUUGGCACACAUUUUGGCACUGUCUCUCAGGUAGCAUAAGUAAAUAUAUUUACUUUACUUAGUCAAAUUACAGAUAUGGGCAUACCCAAGAAAUUUAGCUGAAGCCAUGUUUUAAAAAGCAGAGAAAACAUAACUGUGGUGAUUGCUCCUGUCUCUCAUGUAAUGGAUUAAUAUUUUCUUCAGCCCAAAUGCCUAUAAAAAUUUAUUUUCAGGCCAUAUGGAAAGUCUCCACAGCAUCAGACAUAGGACAGUAUGCACCAGAAAGUGCUGGACAAGGAAAAAGUAAGAAUGAUAAAAUAAUUCCACUCUGAAAAAUUCAAAGUAAUUUUGAAAGAUUCAUUGCACUAGAUAUGAAGAGUAACAGAAUGACAACAAUCAUGAGCAAACACAGCAUUAAAGCUUUAAAACCUGUUCUUAUAAUAUUAGGUUUAUUUUUGAAUAUUAAAUAAAUAAAAAAAGUCCUGAGGCAGGAUAUAGAAAUUAAAGAGAGUACCACUUCCUAAACAGGCACUUUUAAUAGAGCUCUAGGUUAUUUUGCUCUGGUCAUGGUGUGGCAAUUUCUGAAUAGGCUUCCAGGCCUUAACAUGAAAGUAAUUUCCAGAACAAAGUAGAUCCUUCUCUUGUCCUGGCCUUCAUUGUUUUCUUCUGGUCAGCAGGUAGCUCAGAAGGUUGACUUUUGGAUUGCCCCACUACUGUUCCUGAUGUUGAUGUUCAACCAUAGAAGGAGAGCAGAUGAAUUCCAAGUACCUUGAAAGAAUGUAUUGCAAUUCAAAUACCUGGUCAUGAAGUGACACCUCAGCACGACAAAAAUUAUAUUCUUCCCUUCCAAAAAUAGUUGCAUAAUUGGUAUAUCUUAAUACUUUUCUGUGCAGGAUUUAAAAGGAAUGGGUUUAUUUUCUUGUUCAGUAUUGAAGCUGAAAAGGUGACACAUAGAUAUUCAGCAAUUUCAACUAAUUUGCUUAGACUGUUUAAAAAAAAAAUUAAAAUGAAAAGAAAAAGUAUUGGUCUUGUGAAAAGAUUGGAAAAUUCUUUGAGGGGAUUUAAUUCUGUCUUCCCUAGCUUGCAUGUUUGUAUAGCAGUCUGUGCAAAAUAAGAAAUAUUAAGGUAAUAAAGUUCAUCAUUGAAGUUGUAUCACAGAAAUGACAGUCAUGAGAAUGAGAGAGAGAGAAAGAAAAAGAAUAAUUACCUAAUGCUGUAAUUAUUAUUACUAGUUAGACUGCUUUACAUUCUGAGAGAUUAUAAAGAAACAAAGAAACAAAUUAUGUCUAUAGAAAUAAUUACUACUAAUCCAUAAGAGGAGGAACUCAGAGGUGAAGACAGUUAUAAGGCUGAUCUUUUUCAUUUUUCUUACAGACAACACACCAAGAAAUCCCUUUCUACCAUUUCUAAGACUGCCAAAUACUUUUUCUCUGCUCCUUGGAAGAGUUUGGCUACCACAGUUUGUCUAUCACAGUCUAUUUUGGGUACUCAAUAUUACUCCAGAAUAUUUUCUGAACUAAUUUUGCCACAUUGCUCAUGGGGAAAAUUCACACUCUUUUCAGAUAAUUUCAUCUGACCCAGAGCCCCACAGCCUGCUGGUGAAUUAAAGAUCUACAUGAAUGUUCUCUGGAAAAAAAGGGGAAUCCCUAAUCUGUACCUGGAACUGUGUCAAGUAUGGGUGAUACUGCAGCUAAAAAAUGAAAACUUCUAGACAGUAGCAGAUACCAGUUUUAAGGAGCAGACUGGCUUCAGCAGUGCCUAUGUUUUUCCUUCGUAAUAUGUCUUCACUAUCUCCUUAUGCAAGAAUUAGUAGUCCUGGCAACUAUCAAUAACGUCCUUCAACUCUCCCUUCUCUCCACUGGGUUUCUAUGAAACUGCUUUCUGUGAAGACUGUGAUAUUUUGUUAGACUUUCUUCCUGCCCUCUAGAAAAAACUUAUCUCGACCUAUGAUUUUUUUCCCAUGUUAAUUCCUGCUCCUGCCCCUGCUGAGGAGAGGAGUGACAGAGUGCCUUCGUGGGUAAUCAGCGUCCAGCCAAGCUUUAUAUGCUAAGCAUGAUGCCGUAUGAUCUGGGAUUUCCCUUUGAGGUGGGAUCACCUGCUGUGGCUGUGUCUCCUUCCAGCUCCUUGUGCAACCCCAGCCUCUUCAAUGGGAAAAGCAGAAAAGAACACUGGGUUAGAAGAUAAUCCAAAGGAAGAUGUAUUUGCUUCAUCUGUUGAGUCCCUUAUCCUGACUUCUUGAGAAAUAAUUAAUUUGAAGGUGUAUUAAGGGUAACAAGUCAAUACUGAAGAAAUAGGACUAACACAGCACGACAGGACAGUAGGAUCAGAGGAGAAAUUAAGUUCAAAUAUGACACAGGAAAAGAACAGAGGCUGGCAAUGGCCAUAUAUUCUGGGGUCCAUCCUCCCCUCACAGAGAGACGGGCUCUAAGAAAGAUGCAGUCAUUAAGCAACAAGAAGGAGACAAAGUGUGGUCCAGUGCUUAAUUGUUGUAAAGGAUGGAGGGCUGCUUCAUGGAUUUCCAGCAUGUGUGCUCCCUAUCAUGGCCAUGAUGUUUGAUGAAACCAUGUCAAUUUACUCUUUACGAAGGUUCUAUAUUCUUUCUCAAAAAAGCACUUUGCAGAAACACAUUCCAAUGAGCUACCCAGAACAGUCUCUCUUCCUCGAGGUUUAAUCUCAAAGAUGAGCAGUUUCCUGUAUGGAUGCUGUCCUUCAUUAUUUAUGGAAUGCACUAAAAAAUAUACACUUUGAAGCCAAUAUUCUGGUAUUCUGACUUGUGUAUUCAGCCUGGAACUGCCACCAAAGUGAUUGGAUGCGGACAUGCAGUGCCACCUCUCUGCAAGGAUAACUCGCCCCUGAUGUCUUUGCGCAGAUGUUUGGGUUAACUUGCACCCUCACACUGCAGUCCAGGAGCCAGCAGUUACACAGGCCAGCAUAUGAGUUGGUUUGUUAGGAAACUGCAGAGCUCCACUCUCUUGUGAAAUAUAUUCUUGAACGUGACACGCCGCCGAUUCUAACCUAUGUGGAAAUCAUGCAGGUCAUUGCCUCUCAUAUAUAGAAACCUUCCAGCAUCUAAUACAAUUUCAGAAUCAGAAAACCUGCUUCUGUGCACCUGGUUCAGCUUCAUAUUCCUGGCCCACAUGCAGUUCACCAGAUGUUCUGCUAUUUCAUUGCUUGCAUGUGUCUAUGUGUACUUGAUUGUGUUUACCAAAGAAAAUGCUUUGAAUAAAGUUAUUGGAGACAUUUA